rnacentral:piRNA from 1 species
UCGUCUUCAGCAAGGAUCAGUUUCCGGA